GGAAAGAUUCAUCGGUAUGGGAUGGGGUCGCGUCCUAUCAGCUUGAUGGCGGGGUAACGGCCCACCAUGGCUUCGACGGGUAGCCGGCCUGAGAGGGCGACCGGCCACAUUGGGACUGAGAUACGGCCCAGACUCCUACGGGAGGCAGCAGUGGGGAAUAUUGCACAAUGGGCGCAAGCCUGAUGCAGCGACGCCGCGUGCGGGAUGACGGCCUUCGGGUUGUAAACCGCUUUUGACUGGGAGCAAGCCCUUCGGGGUGAGUGUACCUUUCGAAUAAGCACCGGCUAACUACGUGCCAGCAGCCGCGGUAAUACGUAGGGUGCAAGCGUUAUCCGGAAUUAUUGGGCGUAAAGGGCUCGUAGGCGGUUCGUCGCGUCCGGUGUGAAAGUCCAUCGCUUAACGGUGGAUCCGCGCCGGGUACGGGCGGGCUUGAGUGCGGUAGGGGAGACUGGAAUUCCCGGUGUAACGGUGGAAUGUGUAGAUAUCGGAAA
rnacentral:rRNA from 1 species